GGGAUCGGGGCUGAGGAGGGAUGGAGCAGACGGAAAGUUGCGGUGGUGGGAGGAGGCGGGGGGCGAGGGCAGUACGGGACCCCGGCGGCGCCCGGACCGCGGGGGGAGCAGGGGCGCGGGGGACCUGCCGCCGCUGCCGGCUCUUUGUCUGCUCGGGCAACUUGAACAAAAGGAGAAACUCGGAUGAACUCUCCAUCUCUUCCUCGCCUCUCCCGGGUAAACUCAUCUUCGGCAACUUUAUCGGAAGAGAUUUGCUCAACUUUCUUCGAGCUCUCCUGCCGCUUAAAAGCAAAGAGCCCCGCCGUAGACUUCUAAGGAAAUCUGGUUUCACAGUUUAGAGAAAGGAGAAGGUCACAACAUGAUUGUUGGGAAAAUGGGAUGGCUGCCAGAACAUCAGUCGGUGAUGGGUGCCAUAUUGCAUUACUCUUCGAAUGGUGGAAUAGAGCUUGGGAUUCCUCUGGGCUGCUUGACAUGAUUCAAACUGGACCAUACAGAUGCCUAACAUCUUAGCUGUUUGGAUUCAUAGUAAUGGUUAAUGGUCUCCUGGGGGAAGUGGAAAAGCCCCAUGCUGAAACUUGUGGAUAUUACGGAACAUGCUGCUGAGACCUAUUUGGAUUAUACUGCCAUGUGACACCAAGGUUCUGCAUCUGAUGAGAGGAGUUCACCAGAUCUUUUUAUGUGGUUGCUGAAGCAUUGCCCUGGGACAGCAGUAAUGAUGGAUGGACGAACAGAACACACUUCAGGCUUGAGUCACAGAGAAACAUGAGGAUUUGCACUUCUGAAAUAAGUGUGAAUGGGAUUGAAAGAACUAAAUGGAGGAUUCUGAACUCCCCUUCUUCCUGCUCCGGGAAAGAUGGAGGCCUGCUCUGAGACCGCCUUUGGUUAUGAUCCACAUGUGCUACUGAAGCUGGCUGGAAUGGUGUGACAAAUGAGAUUUAGAUGGAUCACUCUGCCAGCUGUCAAGGCCAAUACUGCUCUACAGCCCCUGCUCUCAGCCACAUCCUCAGUGUCCUUGUGGCAGGGUGUCUUGGUAGGACUGUGCAGAUCAAGCUUCACACGACCUCUGCACUUCAGUCUCUCUGUGCUGCAUAAAGCUGUGCCAUUCGGAAGAAGCAAGACAGUCUUUCCUCACAGCUACGAUGCUGCACCGCUUCCGACAGAACCUGCUUUUCCCUCCAUUUACCUGGGCGACUGCUGCUCUUUCUGCUGCUGCUGGGGCUGCUGCAGUCUUGCUGCCUGCGCUUCACCCUGGCUUGGCUGACUCGAAACUCUUUCGUCUGCACAUUGCUAAGGAAGAAGAGCGAUGGAGCCACGGAUAUUUUUUUUAUUGGUUCUGGAAGCCAAGGGUUGCAAUAUGUGAUGAUUUCGGGGUUUUCUGUGGCGGGGUGGAGGGAGGAGAAAGGAAGGGUAUUAAUCUAGGAUAGGGUGGGUGAAAGCUUAAAGAAAUAUUAUGUAAAGUAAUCCAGUGCUUGACAAGGGCAUCAGCAACAAGAAUCCAGCCUCUGCUGCUCCAGAGGAUUAAUAUGGGGAAGUCACAGUGCUGCAGUCGGGUUUCACCUCAGUGCUGUACUGGAGAUGGAUAAAUAAGGUAUUGGUUGCAUCUGCCUGUUAAGGCAAAGCCAAGGGAGAAGGAGAGAGCGAGUGAAUGCAAAUGCAAAGGAAGAAGAAACGCUCUGUGCCGUUUGUCUGAUUCUGCGGAUUCUCACUGCAGAGAGGAUGGCUUGAUUAACAAAGCAAUGUAUGGACCGAGGGACUGUAAAUUGUAGCUUGAGCAUUCCUGGUGCUGCCAGGGAGUGAACUGAUGAGUUAGGUAGCUGCAGGAAUAUCCCCAGGGUAAACAGCAGCCUCUCACUCUGUGUCUAUAUUUGUGUACGUAUGUGCUUUUGUGUGUGUGUGUGUGAACACGUACAGAAAUGAAAGAAAGACAUUUCUGACCAAUUUACAGGGGACGUUUGUCAGUUUGCUGGGUCAGACUUGAUUACAGCUUGUAUUUUCAGCUCUAGCUCUACACCCAUUUCCUGACUGAGGUGGCACUUUGUGAAAACAGAUGGUAGGCAGUAUUCUUUUAAGAAUUGUGAAAGCAGAUCCUUUCCGCUUAACACCUUGAAGCACUGAACCUUCUGCACUGUGCUGAGAGAAACCGUGGGGUUUCAUUUUCUCCAUCUUAAAAUCUCUAUAAACACAGCUGUAUUCAGUAUGGUGAAAAAUUCUAUACUGUAAAUAGAAAUGUGAUCAAUCUAAUCAAAAUAAAUGCAUCCCAGAUGACUUCUAGACCAGCUGGCUACCACAGUCAUCAGAUGGCUAAAUCCUCAACUGAGCAUUUGUAUUCAGUGUUAUACUUGCAUCUUUUUAUUUUUCUCUUUUUUUUUUUCUUAGAUUUUCAAAAUCAGCCUCUAAUUUAAAAGGAUUCUUCAUAUAUUUAGAAAAGGCAAUGCUUUCUGUGAAAUGUACCUGGGUGUAUUUUUUACUUUGGAAUCUGCUUGGGGCGAUUUUAGAGUAGGUAGACUUGUCACAGUACAGGCAUAUUUCAUUUGGUAGGUAGCUCAGCCUGGCCAUAUCUGAACAAUGCAGAAACAGGGAAAACAACCACUGCAUACAGCUAGCAGGGCUUGGCAUGGAUUUUAGCAGCUGCCUAUCAAGAAAGACAAGUUUUUUUUCUUUCCGUUUUUCCCUUUUAUACAAAGCCAUAGACCAUAAUGUCAUACUAAAAUGUGUAUGAGGGGAUUUCCCAAUAGUCAUGGUGAGCUAGCCUGCAGGACUCCCGUCUAGUCCUUCCACUAUUUUUUCCCCAGCUUACAAAGGCAGCCCUGUAUGUUGAAUUGUAUUUAGCCAGCUGUUGGAUAGCAUUCUUGUGCUGGGGGCUAAGGAGUCUUAUUACUCCCAAACUGUAGUUUUCUGUUUGCUUAAAGAAAAUUGGCAAUACAGCAGGCUCUGCAAAUAAGUUUAUGCCACUCCUAUACCUUUCUGAAUCUGUUGUGUGCUUCUAAGUCAAGCAGUUUAAAGCAAGCAAGGAGGGAGGAGGAGAGACUCUGAACUUGCAGCUUCAAAGCUACAGAGACAAGCAAAAUGUCAGCAGCUUGUAAUUAGGAGCCCACGGUUACGUCAGUGACUGUAUCUCUCCAGGAAUUGCUAUGAGAUGUGUGCCACAAAGCAAAGGAAGACUCUCAUAACCUGGUUAACAAGCCUGGCUCAAACAAGAAAGAGCAAAAUGGAUUAAUGAAUCUGCUGUGUUCCUAAUUCAGAUGUGGAUGGAUUACACGCACAAGGUUUGCUGAAUUCUGCAGCAGCGAAGACUGAAUUAUAGCAUGCAUUCACCAAAAGUGCAAAUCCUUCAGGAAAAAAAUGCAGAUGAGCAGUCUAUCCUUGAAAAUUUCUUUCCUAGCUCUGUCCUGUACAGGCAGCUGCAUGACAUGGAGGCACGCUCUGAAGGAAGAGACUGGCGAGCUGCACAAAGAUGUUUAAAAGGAAGGUGCAAUUAGACACAAAGCAAGCCUGCUGAAAUUCUGUUCUGGCAUUACAGAUUUGAUACUGAAAUACCACCACAGAGGAGACCGGCUGGGCUCUGGUGUGGUUUAUAUUAAGGCUUCUCGGUUAAGAGCGAGGGGGAAGGGACAGGGCUUCCUGCAGCAUCUUGCAGCCAUACAGAAGUCCCCAGGGCUGUGGGAAGCAGGAGGGAUGGGUGUGCUCUUAAAGACACAUGCCCAGAUCCUGCCAAGGGGCUUUCUGACCUCUGCAAUUAUUUUUAGGUCCAUGAAGGCAACUCGGCAGUGCUUUAGCAGUGAGAUUGCAGGGGGUGUUUAAUCUGCUGCGACUGGCCUUUCUCUGUGUCAUGGCUGGGAAAGGCUUAUAGAGCUUUUAUCAAUACCCCUCCACCCCUCCACCACAUCCAGCACGCAUGUCUGUCGCUGUUCCUAAAGACCAGUUACUGGAGUUCUGGUGUGUUUUCCUGCUCCCAGCAGAAGUCACUUGCAGUUCAGCUCUGUUGUAGUUGCUUUUUAAUUUACCAGAUAGGUAGAUUGUAUUUUACAAACAGUGGGGGUGGGUGGUUUUUGGUUUGGUUUUGGUUUGUUUUGGUUUUUUUGGUUUUUUUUGGACUGUGAACACAAAUUUGUAGGAUGAGGUGACUCUGUAUAUUAAACCAAUAGCUCUUUGAAUUGUGUGUAGUAUAAUCUAAAUAUACUUACUUUAAUUAAUAGAAGGUUACAAAAGCUGGCAUUGUCUGGGGCUGUUUAAUUUACAUCUUAGGUUUAGUCAAUGAGCACAACCUGCCUGAUUAGAACAGUGUAUUCUGCACAGCCAACAGGGUGGAAGGCAUUAUUUUGUUUGUGUUAGUUCAAACAGCUGGUCAUUAAUGCAGGCCCCAUCUCCAGAGUGAAGUGCUAGUGGACAUGAAUGGCUGCCUGAUUAAUGCUGCCCCUCGACGGGUCCUUCAUCCAGCAGCAAUGCUCGCAGCAGAAUAAUGCAGCGGGAUUUGAUUGCGCUCUAACAGGGUAGUAUGUCAUUGUGUCACCAAGCGAUCGAGGUUAUUAUGGGGUAGGGCAGACAGACGGGACAGUGGGGUUACUAGACCGUGGCAUUUUUAGAAAUGCAGGGCUGACCUACUUAGAGUUAUUCUUGCUGGCUGGCAGCUGCCUGGUGCGGGGCUCCCCCGGAUAGGCUGCGGCUGUUGCUAGGGGGAAUUAGCAUGAAUUUUUCCACAUACAGACUCAGUGAUUGAAUGAUAAAAGCUGACUGGAAUUAAAGAGAUUCGGUUCAGUAUUAUGCAGAUUUAUCUCCCUCAUUUUUUUUUCUCUCUGUCAAAUGCAUAAAAAGGAGCAGAAAACAGUUUGUUUCCAUUUAUUUUUGACCUAUUUUUUUUUUUUCCAGAGGAGGGCAGAAGUGUUGUGAGGUGAUAAUUUAAUAUUUAGGCCGUUGAAAUGAUAUGAUAGUGAGCAUGCAUCUUUAAUGUAUGGAAGAUUAAAAUGC
ensembl:lncRNA